GAUGAACGCUAGCGGCAGGCUUAAUACAUGCAAGUCGAGGGGUAACAGGUGUAGCAAUACAUGCUGACGACCGGCGCACGGGUGCGUAACGCGUAUGCAACCUACCUUUAACUGGGGAAUAGCCCCGAGAAAUCGGGAUUAAUACCUCAUAACAUUUAUCAGUCGCAUGAUUUGAUAAAUUAAAGCUCCGGCGGUUAGAGAUGGGCAUGCGUGACAUUAGCUAGUUGGUGAGGUAACGGCUCACCAAGGCUGCGAUGUCUAGGGGUUCUGAGAGGACAAUCCCCCACACUGGUACUGAGACACGGACCAGACUCCUACGGGAGGCAGCAGUAAGGAAUAUUGGGCAAUGGACGCAAGUCUGACCCAGCCAUGCCGCGUGCAGGAUGAAGGCCCUAUGGGUUGUAAACUGCUUUUAUACGGGAAGAAACUCUCGCUCGUGAGCGAGACUGACGGUACC
rnacentral:rRNA from 1 species